GAAGGUUGGAAAAUGGGUGAGAAGGUUGGAAACUGGGUGAGAAGGUUGGAAACUGGGUGAGAAGGUUGGAAAACAGGCGAGGAGGUUGGAGACCGGGCGAGAAGGUAGGAAAAUAGGCGAGAAGACCCCUGUCCCGCGCGGGACCCCCGUCCUCGGGGUCGCCCCUUCCUGACGUGGCUCCCCCUCUCCCCGCGCCCCCGCCCUGGGUCGGGGGGUGACCGCGCCGGGCCGAUCCACGCCCUGGAGCUGGAGCUGGAGACCCUCCGCAACCAGCCUGCAGGACCCCCUGGACAAGGAGCCCCCCACCCGGCGCGGCGGCUGAGGCCAAGGGGGAGAAGGUGCGACCCACGGCGUUCUGAGGGGCCCGGCCCCCCCCGGG